rnacentral:misc_RNA from 1 species
UGGACUACUCGGGUUUCUAAUCCUGUUUGCUCCCCACGCUUUCGCACCUCAGUGUCAGUAUCAGUCCAGGUAGUCGCCUUCGCCACUGGUGUUCCUUCCUAUAUCUACGCAUUUCACCGCUACACAGGAAAUUCCACUACCCUCUACCAUACUCUAGCUUGCCAGUUUUGGAUGCAGUUCCCAGGUUGAGCCCGGGGAUUUCACAUUCAACUUAACAAACCACCUACGCGCGCUUUACGCCCAGUAAUUCCGAUUAACGCUUGCACCCUCUGUAUUACCGCGGCUGCUGGCAC